CAAAAGCUUUAUAAACUGGUUUUCUCUCUUUGAUAGAUCCACAACUUGAAAAUAAAAGAAAAAUGGAGAAAAUUUCCCCAAAAUUUGCUUGCUUCGUUGUCCUCCUUCUGAUUGCAACUUCUGGUUUGCCAUGGGGAGCAGAAGCAGAAGAGUGUAAGCAAGAUUCAGACUGCAAGACACUGUGCAAUGAGCAUGGGAGGCCAAUCUGCCAUCCCAAAUCUCUAACUUGCUAUUGCUCUAAACCUUCUAUUCCUGGAGUUAAUAAUUAUUAGCAAGAGGGUUCUUCUUCCUCACUGCCACUCCACUCCACUCCAAAUAAAUAAAUUGAUAUUAGUUUUAUAUAUGUAUUCCAACAUAAAGAAUGAAAAUUCUUUUUGAAUAAUUUUUAUUUAGUUUUUUCUGUUGAUUUUAACAUCAACUUUAUUCCUGAGAAAUAAAAAUAUUAUUUAUUUUUUCUCAUGUUUUACUCGGAAUUCUAUUCUAAACUUUCAAAAAUUAUAAAAAAAAAAGUAUUAUUUUAUA